CAUUCACUCUCCCGAAUAAAAAAUCCCCAAUUUCACUCUCCCAAGCCCAAACCCACAGAAUCGAAAACCCUCCCCACGCCUCACCAUCUCCGACAUCACCCCAGACGACGGCACCGUCGACGAUCCGACAGGGCGUGUCGAAAGUUUGGCUGCCUCCCGCUUCACGUUUUUUUACCACACUUCGAACGAAGAUUGUCGCCACUUCGGGAGCACAUCCAUCCAACUUUCUCCUGUUGAUAUAUUGGAAACGAGAUAACUAUAUGCACUGGGGUUUAAGGUUUUGCUAUGUGUUGUCUUUUAAUCUCAAUACUAACGAAGGGUUGAACAAUUUUUGAUAUGGUUUACUAUAUAUUCAGAGAAGUUUCUGCUAUGGUUAACUUCAACAAUAGAUUAUAUCAAUAUUAUUAUAUUUGAUUAUGUCAGAUGCUUGGGCUCUAAUAAGUUAAAAGUCUCCCAAUUUAUGUGUAUAAAUACAAGGUUCAAUAAUCGUCUCCCUGGAACGAGCUAUUUCAUUUAUAAAAUUACAUUUCAAAUUCAAUGAGAUAACUGUAUGCCCCGGGAUUUAAGGUUUGCUAUGUUUUGUGUUUUAAUCUCAAUACUACCGAAGGG
rnacentral:lncRNA from 1 species